GGGGGAGUGGCCGGGUGGUUAAAAGCGACAGACUGUAAAUCUGUUGAAGGUUUUCUAUUCCAUGCAGGUCCGAAUCCUGCCUCUCCCA
rnacentral:tRNA from 1 species